rnacentral:lncRNA from 1 species
AGCACCGCUCUCCCCACCUCGGCCCUGCCCAGCCCCGGCCAGCACCGCUCUCCCCACCUCGGCCCUGCCAGCCCCGGCCAGCACCGCUCUCCCGACCUCGGCCCUGCCCAGCCCUGGCCAGCACUGCUCUCCCGACCUCGGCCCUGCCCAGCCCUGGCCAGCACCACUCUCCCCACCUCGGCCCUGCCCAGCCCCGGCCAGCACCGCUCUCCCCACCUCGGCCCAGCCUCGCCGCGACCACAGAUGCCUCCACGAAGGCCCUUCGACAAGUGACACUCACCCCAGUCCACACAAGGCAGAGUGACUCGUCCACGUCAGCCCCGGUGGUCAACGCGGAGGGCGCUCCAGCCCUGACCUGACCUUGGCUCGGACAGAUGCUGACGCCACGCCCAGACCCUUCCAGGACCCACACCCGAGCGGCGCUGCGCCAGCGGGGACCGGAGGCCACGGGUUCCCAUGGCUGAACCGGGUGUGUCGGCGAAGGCCG